UACGGGGGGGGCAAGCGUUAUUCGGAAUCAUUGGGCGUAAAGGGCGCGUAGGCGGCUUGGCAAGUCAAAGGUGAAAUCCCUCGGCCUAACCGAGGAACUGCCUUUGAAACUGCUUGGCUUGAGGCCGGGAGAGGGUAGCGGAAUUCCCAGUGUAGCGGUGAAAUGCGUAGAUAUUGGGAGGAACACCAGUGGCGAAGGCGGCUACCUGGACCGGUUCUGACGCUGAGGAGCGAAAGCGUGGGGAGCGAACAGG
rnacentral:rRNA from 1 species